UAGGAAUCUUCGGCAAUGGACGAAAGUCUGACCGAGCAACGCCGCGUGAGUGAAGAAGGUUUUCGGAUCGUAAAACUCUGUUGGUAGAGAAGAACGUUGGUGAGAGUGGAAAGCUCAUCAAGUGACGGUAACUACCCAGAAAGGGACGGCUAACUACGUGCCAGCAGCCGCGGUAAUACGUAGGUCCCGAGCGUUGUCCGGAUUUAUUGGGCGUAAAGCGAGCGCAGGUGGUUUAUUAAGUCUGGUGUAAAGGCAGUGGCUCAACCAUUGUAUGCAUUGGAAACUGGUAGACUUGAGUGCAGGAGAGGAGAGUGGAAUUCCAUGUGUAGCGGUGAAAUGCGUAGAUAUAUGGAGGAACACCGGUGGCGAAAGCGGCUCUCUGGCCUGUAACUGACACUGAGGCUCGAAAGCGU
rnacentral:rRNA from 1 species